rnacentral:rRNA from 1 species
UACGUAGGGUGCAAGCGUUAAUCGGAAUUACUGGGCGUAAAGCGUGCGCAGGCGGUUAUGCAAGACAGAUGUGAAAUCCCCGGGCUCAACCUGGGAACUGCAUUUGUGACUGCAUGGCUGGAGUGCGGCAGAGGGGGAUGGAAUUCCGCGUGUAGCAGUGAAAUGCGUAGAUAUGCGGAGGAACACCGAUGGCGAAGGCAGCCUCCUGGGCCAGCACUGACGCUUAUGCACGAAAGCGUGGGGAGCGAACCGG